CGUCCUGUGUCGUCUCUUUAGACUGUCUAAAGGGGUGCCUAUAGGCCCAGCGAUUGUUAUGAUUAACUGGGCCUGUAGGCUAUUGAGGUUAAUCUUUCUAAAAAAUAUCGGGUGGUGAUCAGAUGUGAAUGGGUCCCGAAAAACUCAAUGUUGGAUGAUCUUUUAGGCAGCUUAUCAGUACCAUUGUUCCCUUUAUAUUCGCUAUGGCCAUUUAUAUAUUGGAUAAUUGGACAACCAUUGCAUUCUUUGAGGCGAUGACUCCUUUCUACAGCGAUGGCCGUCUGGAUGAUGGAUAUAAACUCGCAUUGGAAGAUCAAGUUCUCUGAGCUGAAUGUUCUUGAUGUUUAGAUUCAUUGAUACUAUUGAGUCUGCCUGUAGAAGUAUUUUUCCAUCGUUAGUGUUGUGCAAUAUAGUGAUUUUACGCAGUGCUGAUUCUCUACUGGUAAUAAUUGGACUUUAUAUCGUUUCUAAAGCAUCAAAUUGAUUUUUGUUUAUCACCAUUUUUUUAAAUCUGACUUAGCAAUUCAAAACUUGUCUACUUAUUUCAAACACAAAUAUUGAAAAACUCAUUUUUUAAAUUUGUGUUGGAGAAAUACUAGAAAAUAAGAUAACGCGUAUUAAAUCAUUAUCAUUCACUGUAAUAAUUUUAUCUUUAUAACUUAAUAUUGAUAACAUCACGUAAUAAAGAGGAAAUGGGUACAAAAAUACCGGAUCAGUGGUUUUCCUUGUUCCGCAGUCAAACCGUGUAAACGGUUUUGCGGGGCAUUUAAUUUACUUAUGUAAUAUAUAUGAGAAUAAUAAAGAUUUUGAAUUGAUUGAUUGAAUAGAGCGUUGCAACGAAUUAUUGGUAAUUUAUGACUACGUUCACCAGCUGAAUGAUUAAUAGGAAAAAACAUUCAGUGAGGCAAUAUAGGACUGUUUUGAACAUUCGUCGUGAACGACGAUUGUUUCCUUUUAAGAGAGUCCAUGCCAUGCUCGAGCCAUCCCUGUACCUUUUUCGUGAUAUUUGUGGCAUGGUAAAAAUAUUGGCCUGGCCAAUGUAAAUCACCUAUAGCAGUAUAUACUUGGGGCUAAAAUGUUUCCCUGCAUUGUCUAUUAAAGAAUCCCAAAAAAAUACUUAAUUAUAUUCAGAGAAGAUACUCUGCCCAACGAAACUAAAAGCAACUUUAAAAGAACUCUUUCUUUUUUCAUAAACGACUCCCGCGUUAAGGAAUGUCAUCCUUGUGUUGCGGGGGGUUUCAGAAACAUUCAAGUCACAUGCACAAAAACGCCCAGACUCAGGACAAGCAUGCGUGGAUAACCCACACUUGCCCUACGCCGGUUUCGAACCCACGAAGCGUCGCAAACGUUUGGCGUGGUGAAUUCAACUACACGACUGAAUCAGUGUUUUAAUUUUGGAGAAAAUCCACUUAAUAAAAAUGUCUGUUUUACAAUAUUUUAUUUAGUUUCACUUGUCCCGUUGUGUCUGCCUGUAAUCAAAUCAUGCAAGUUAAAUUUUAUAGACAUCCGGUUUCCGGUUGACAGCAUAAGUUAUCUAGGUAAAAUGAUGAAUGAAUGAUUUUGAUUAUGACCUAACAUAGGCCGUUACAAUAGCCGACGAAUGGCAAUUGGAUUAAAUUUGACAGUGAGUUUUCCUCCCCGUAUUGAAUUUACUGUAGUGUUGGAAAAAGGCUUAGGAGGAUACGAAUCAAUACAAUACAAUAAAAUGUUAAUCCAAUUUCCAUUAAUUCAUCGGCAGUUGUACACAGCGGGAUUGGGGCCCUGGUCUGAUGCUGAUGGGAACUGGUCAACGGAGCUCCGCUAAAAACACCCUCGAAUUUAGAUUUGUUUGAAUUGUCUUUUUGAGAACAUUUAUCCCAAAACUGUAGGAGUAGUGUUUUUUUAAAGAAAAGAAAGAAACUUAAACUCAUCCUCCUGUUAUUUUGAAUUCAGUUUCUAGAUAAGGGCGCGAGCGAAGUGUUACUCAAUGUAUUAGUUUCACAUCGUCAGUCCUACAGUGGAAAGUGACGAGACUGGUCGCCAGUCGUGGUUCAAUAAAUCGUGUUGUGCGUGCAGCCAGUUACACAAACCG